rnacentral:lncRNA from 1 species
CAGUCAUUCAUCAACAACCAUGAUACUUUCCCUGGUGGCCCACAGGCCCUGAGUGCUCCACCCUUCCUCCCCAUUGCCACCACCCCCAUGGGCUUCCAUGCCUUUCCACACCCUUUCCCUUGGCCUGCAACACUUCUCCCAACCUCUCGCUCAUUCAAGAAUGGAUGAACCCCAGGCCAGGUGUGGUGGCUCAUGCCUGUAAUCCCAGCACUUUGGGAGGCCAAGGCAGGUGGAUCACUUGAGAUCCUCCAGCGUGGGUUGCAGCCUGGGUGACAGAGCGAGACUGUCUCCAAAAAAAAAAAAAAAAGAGUAAAUGAACCCCCAUUCAUCAACUCACCUCAGACAUCAUCUCUUCAGGAAAGUCUCCUUUGACCCCACCCCAUCCCCUGACAUUCACUCUCAUAAACACAUUGCACUUUACCUUCUGCUUCCUUAUCUCAGUUUCUGUUUUUGAUUUGUCUGAUCACUUGGUUAACAACUUUCUUCCUUCCCAGACUUUAAGUUCCAUGAGGGUCUGAGUCUGUUUUGCUUGCUAUUGUAGCUAUGCCACUGU